UAAUACAGAGGGUGCAAGCGUUAAUCGGAAUUACUGGGCGUAAAGCGUGCGUAGACGGUCAUGUAAGUCGGGUGUGAAAGCCCCGGGCUCAACCUGGGAAUUGCAUUCGAGACUGCAUGGCUAGGAUGCGGAAGAGGGAAGCGGAAUUUCCGGUGUAGCGGUGAAAUGCGUAGAUAUCGGAAGGAACACCAGUGGCGAAAGCGGCUUCCUGGUCCAGCAUCGACGUUCAGGCACGAAAGCGUGGGGAGCAAACA
rnacentral:rRNA from 1 species